AUUCCUCGUACACAAAAUGAAAACUGAAGAACAAAAAUAAAAUAAAAUAAAAGAUAGGCAAGCCCUGGGAAUCAAGGGCAUUCUCUAAUUGCUACUUCGUUUCCUGAGAAAACUGGGAUGAUCCGCAAGAUGAUAACAUGCUGAAAGAGCGGAUCGAGUGGGGGAUCCAAUGCCACACUUGGUGAAGUUUUUUUCUCAGCAGAAGCAACCUGAGAUGGCCUUGGGAAAUUUGGGAGAUAACGAAAAGAUGAAAGAGUCUGGGUUUAUGAUGCUCAGGACAUUCCCAGCCACAGCUGGAUAAAAAGGAAAAUAGAUCCAAUACCUAAUCGUUUUGGUAUAAAACCUGGGUGUCACUGGGAUGGGGUGAACCGAAGUAACGGAAGUCAAGUUGGAAUGGGGCAAAGGCUUGGUCCAGAAGAGAGAAACAGAAGCAAAGAUGCAUGACUUAGAAGCUGAGUAGGAAAACCAUAUGCCAUGGCCCAGGACUAGGGAUGAUCCGCAAGUUGACAACAUGCUGAAAGAGAGGAUCGGGUGGGGAAUACGAUGGCGCACUUGGUGAAGGCAAUCGGAAACCACCUGAGAUUGCCCUGGGAAAUCUAGGAGAUGACGAAAAGAUGAAAGAGUCUGGGUUUAUAAUUUCCUCAGGACAUUCUCAGCCACAGCUGGAUACAAAGGAAAAUAGAUCCAAUACCUAGUCGUUAUGGUACAAAACCUGGGCGUCAUCAGGAUGGGGUUGAACCGAAGUACUGACAAUUUUUUUCCCUUCUGUUUGCGUUGUCUCUGUAUGGCUGUUUCUUGUCUUGAUUUUUGCAACAUUCGUGCUGCGUUGUAUGGUACCCAAGAAGGAAAAGCAGAAGCUUAUUACACUGGCAAUCAAAUUUAUGGUGCAAAUUUAGUUUUCUAACUUCGGCAGUACAAGGCAUGAUCAUUGAACGUGUUAUAGCGAGUUACUUGCUGGAGAAGUUGCUUAAGUCCAAUAAAAUUAGUUCAGUGCCUAUUUGAAGAUUCAGUAGUAUUCUCAAGUGCAGUACUUUUCAGAGUGUAGAAUGAAAUGAUCUGCAGAAAUGAAAACACAAUAUUCAAAAUUUAAACUAUCAGGAUCGAUGAAAUGGAAGGUGAAUUAUGUAACAUUUCAUACAUUGAUCUAAACAGUUCACUGCAAAUGUCAAACUUUAUACUAUUACGGAAAAAAAUGAAGAAAUAUGGCAGAACUCUUGCAUCGCAAC